UACGGAGGGGGCGAGCGUUGUUCGGAAUCACUGGGUGUAAAGGGUGCGUAGGCGGUGCGUUAAGUCUGAUGUGAAAGCCCUGGGCUCAACUCAGGAAUUGCAUUGGAAACUGGCGUGCUGGAGUACGGGAGAGGGAAGCGGAAUUCCUGGUGUAGCGGUGAAAUGCGUAGAUACCAGGAGGAACACCGGUGGCGAAGGCGGUUUCCUGGCCCAGUACUGACGCUGAGGCACGAAAGCGUGGGGAGCGAACAGG
rnacentral:rRNA from 1 species